rnacentral:rRNA from 1 species
CUUCGGGGUGCCCAGGCGCGAAAACUUUGCAAUGCGGGAAACCGUGACAAGGGAACUCUGAGUGCCCGUUAAAUCGGGCUGUCCAUCGGUUUAAAUAACCGGUGAAGAAAGGGCCGGGCAAGACCGGUGCCAGCCGCCGCGGUAAUACCGGCGGCUCGAGUGGUGGCCACUAUUACUGGGCUUAAAGCGUUCGUAGCUGGUUUGUUAAGUCUCUGGGGAAAUCUUCCGGCUUAACCGGAAGGCGUCUCAGGGAUACUGGCAGACUAGGGACCGGGAGAGGUGAGAGGUACUCCAGGGGUAGGAGUGAAAUCCUGUAAUCCUUGGGGGACCACCUGUGGCGAAGGCGUCUCACCAGAACGGCUCCGACAGUGAGGGACGAAAGCUGGGGGAGCAAACCGGAUUAGAUACCCGGGUAGUCCCAGCUGUAAACGAUGUGCGUUAGGUGUAUCGGUGACCACGAGUCACCGAGGUGCCGAAGAGAAAUCGUGAAACGUACCGCCUGGGAAGUACGGUCGCAAGGCUGAAACUUAAAGGAAUUGGCGGGGGAGCAC